UAGCUUGCACAAGUGUUGUGCUGGAAGUGUUUGGAAUCAGCAACUUAAGGAAUGCACUGAUUGUGAGGUGGGAUAUAUUGGGUUUUUUGUAACGAGUCUUGUGAAUAUCCGUAUUAUGGUAAAAAAUGUAUGAACAAGUGUUUUUGUGAGGAAAAUACUUGUGAUUUUUCAACAGGAUGCCAGACGAGGAAUCCAACACUCCCUUCACGAAGAAGAACUACAUUUAUGCACAAAUCAAGAAAUAUUUCCCAAAAAUCAAAACGUAUACCAGUAAGCACAGUUAAAGCGGAUAUUCAACUCACAACAAUGUACAAUGUUUCUUCCAGUCUAAGAAAGAUAAAGGAAACAAAUCUGAGUGCGGUACAUAUAUUGAUAAUGGUGUUUGGAAUUAUGAUAUGUAUGACUAUGAUAGCGUUUGGAUUUGUAUUUCUUUAUGAAAAGCGCUCUAGAAACCAAAGGCGUUGCAAUGAAGAAAAUCAUUACAGCGAGAUUAAAGAAAUUGUCUGUUUUAAAGUGCAAUAGUGAUUAACUCUUAGACAAGACAUUUACACAAAUAAAAAAAAAAUAAAUACAAAAUUAAUAUAAGACAGACAAUAUUGAAAUUAGAAAAAUAGAAGAAUAAGUAAGUCACUUUAAAAACUUGACGAUGACCUGAACUCUACUGAACUGUAACUGA